GUCCACGCCGUAAACGAUGCAUACUAGGUGUUGGCCCUUUGGGGCCAGUGCUGCAGUUAACGCAUUAAGUAUGCCACCUGGGGAGUACGUCGGCAACGAUGAAACUCAAAGGAAUUGACGGGGGCCCGCACAAGCGGUGGAGCAUGUGGCUUAAUUCGAUGCAACGCGAGGAACCUUACCUGGGCUAAAUCCACAGUGCUACUUCUGGAAACAGAAGGUCCCUUCGGGGCGCUAUGGAAGGUG
rnacentral:rRNA from 1 species